ACCCCCAGUUGUAGACGGGAAUCUGGACGCCAGGCUCCUCUACCCCGCCCCCCCUCUCUCUCUCGCCCAUUUCGGAGGCAUCGUGCCUAACCCCUCCCCUCUCCAACUCCAAACCGGGCUGAGGCAACUUAGACUCGAGGUUCCUGUACACCAAGAAUAAGGAAUGAGGAUACAAAUGCCCUUUUCUUUUCUAAGGCUACCCACCCGCAUGCAGUUACCCCAGCUUCUUAGAGAGCUGGAGCAAGACAUGGAAACUGUAAUCAAUGUACUGAAACCUGGGCCAUUAGGAAUCAUCGAACACAAGUUCUCUGCUGCUGAGGUACAGGAGGCGAAGGCCACGGUCAGGAGAGCGGUUGAGAACUGGCAAAGGAAUUCUGCCCUGGAAAGAAACGGCCGUACUCUGAAGCAUUCAGAAAAUAAAAUGACACAGCCAUGAGUUGUGAAUGUCUGAAUAAAUGGGUUAAUUUUCACAAAAUUCUAUGACAUCAACGUAGCCAGUGUCUACGACUUUAUCUUCCUUUCACUAGUUGAUGAUAUAACUGGAAUUGCUCUGUUGAAUAACUUUCUUUCUUCCAUCAUAAAAAGAUUUGGUGCUUUUAAAAUGGCA